GUGCAGCAGUCGAGAAAACUUCACAAUGUGCGAAAGCACGAUGAGGGAAUCCCAAGUGCUUGCACGUAAGUGUAAGCUGUUUCUCUGUCUAAAACGCAGAGAGAGUAAGGGCUGGGUAAGACGGGUGCCAGCCGCCGCGGUAAUACCUGCAGCUCGAGUGGUGACCGUUAUUAUUGGGCCUAAAACGUCCGUAGCCGGUUUAAUAAAUGCCUGGGUAAAUCGGACCGCUUAACGGUUCGAAUUCCGGGUAGACUGUUAAACUUGAGACCGGGAGAAGUUAGAGGUACUCCUGGGGUAGAGGUGAAAUUCUGUAAUCCUAGGGGGACCACCAGUGGCGAAGGCGUCUAACUAGAACGGGUCUGACGGUGAGGGACGAAGCCCUGGGGCGCAAACGGGAUUAGAUACCCUCGUAGU
rnacentral:rRNA from 1 species